AACGGCCGUACCAUGCUGAAUAUACCGGUUCUCGUUAGAUCACCGAAGUUAAGCAACAUUGGGCGCGGUCAGUACUUGGGUGGGUGACCACCUGGGAACACUGCGUGC
rnacentral:rRNA from 1 species